GAGUUUGAUCGUGGCUCAGAUUGAACGCUGGCGGCAGGCCUAACACAUGCAAGUCGAGCGGUAGAGAGAAGCUUGCUUCUCUUGAGAGCGGCGGACGGGUGAGUAAUGCCUAGGAAUCUGCCUGGUAGUGGGGGAUAACGCUCGGAAACGGACGCUAAUACCGCAUACGUCCUACGGGAGGAAGCAGGGGACCUUCGGGCCUUGCGCUAUCAGAUGAGCCUAGGUCGGAUUAGCUAGUUGGUGAGGUAAUGGCUCACCAAGGCGACGAUCCGUAACUGGUCUGAGAGGAUGAUCAGUCACACUGGAACUGAGGCACGGUCCAGACUCCUACGGGAGGCAGCAGUGGGGAAUAUUGGACAAUGGGCGAAAGCCUGAUCCAGCCAUGCCGCGUGUGUGAAGAAGGUCUUCGGAUUGUAAAGCACUUUAAGUUGGGAGGAAGGGCAGUAAAUUAAUACUUUGCUGUUUUGACGUUACCGACAGAAUAAGCACCGGCUAACUCUGUGCCAGCCGCCGG
rnacentral:rRNA from 1 species